rnacentral:rRNA from 1 species
CCCUUAGAUGUUCUGGGCCGCACACGCGCUACACUGAAGGAGGCAGCGUGUACUCCUGGAUCGAAAGAUUUGGGUAACCCGCGAAUCUCCUUCGUGCUAGGGAUUGAGGUUUGCAAUUAUCCUUCAUGAACGAGGAAUUCCCAGUAAGUGCAAGUCAUAAGCUUGCGCUGACUACGUCCCUGCCCUUUGUACACACCGCCCGUCGCUACUAUCGAUUGAAUGAUCCGGUGAGGCCCCCGGAAUGGGAUCACUGCCUGGUUCUCCAGAAUGAGAUCCCGUGAAGCUGUCCAAACCUUAUCAUUUAGAGGAAGGAGAAGUCGUAACA